rnacentral:rRNA from 1 species
GACGAACGCUGGCGGCGUGCUUAACACAUGCAAGUCGAACGGAAAGGCCCUGCUUUUGUGGGGUGCUCGAGUGGCGAACGGGUGAGUAACACGUGAGUAACCUGCCCUUGACUUUGGGAUAACUUCAGGAAACUGGGGCUAAUACCGGAUAGGAGCUCCUGCUGCAUGGUGGGGGUUGGAAAGUUUCGGCGGUUGGGGAUGGACUCGCGGCUUAUCAGCUUGUUGGUGGGGUAGUGGCUUACCAAGGCUUUGACGGGUAGCCGGCCUGAGAGGGUGACCGGCCACAUUGGGACUGAGAUACGGCGCAGACUCCGACGGGAGGCAGCAGUGGGGAAUAUUGCAAAAUGGGCGGAAGCCGGAUGCAGCAACGCCGCGUGCGGGAUGAAGGCCUUCGGGUUGUAAACCGAUUUCGCCUGUGACGAGGCGUGAGUGACGGUAAUGGGUAAAGAAGCACCGGCUAACUACGUG